rnacentral:tRNA from 1 species
GCCGAAGUAGCUCAGUGGGGAGAGUGUUAGAAUGAAGAUUUAGAAGUUCCCUGGUUCAAUCCCAGGCUUUGGCA